rnacentral:rRNA from 1 species
UACGUAGGGGGCAAGCGUUGUCCGGAUUUAUUGGGCGUAAAGAGCGUGUAGGCGGCCCGACAGGUCCGUUGUGAAAACUCGAGGCUCAACCUCGAGACGCCGAUGGAAACCGUCUGGCUAGAGUCCGGAAGAGGAGAGUGGAAUUCCUGGUGUAGCGGUGAAAUGCGCAGAUAUCAGGAGGAACACCGGUGGCGAAGGCGGCAUCCUGGACCAAUUCUGACGCUGAGGAGCGAAAGCCAGGGGAGCAAACGGG